rnacentral:rRNA from 1 species
CCGCGGUAAUACGGAGGGUGCAAGCGUUAAUCGGAAUUACUGGGCGUAAAGCGCACGUAGGCGGUUAGUUAAGCUAGCUGUGAAAUCCCCGGGCUUAACCUGGGAAUUGCAGUUAGAACUGGCUGGCUAGAGUAUGGUAGAAGGGUGUGGAAUUUCAGGUGUAGCGGUGAAAUGCGUAGAUAUCUGAAGGAACACCAGUGGCGAAGGCGACACCCUGGACCAAUACUGACGCUGAGGUGCGAAAGCGUGGGGAGCAAACAGG